CCUACGGGGGGCAGCAGUGGGGAAUAUUGCACAAUGGAGGAAACUCUGAUGCAGCGACGCCGCGUGAGUGAAGAAGUAUCUCGGUACGUAAAGCUCUAUCAGCAGGGAAGAAAGUGACGGUACCUGAAAAAGAAGCCCCGGCUAACUACGUGCCAGCAGCCGCGGUAAUACGUAGGGGGCAAGCGUUAUCCGGAUUUACUGGGUGUAAAGGGAGCGUAGGUGGCAGAGCAAGUCUGGAGUGAAAACCCAGGGCUUAACUCUGGGAAUGCUUUUGAAACUGCUCAGCUGGAGUGCAGGAGGGGUAAGUGGAAUUCUUAGUGUAGCGGUGAAAUGCGUAGAUAUUAGGAGGAACACCGGUGGCGAAGGCGGCUUACUGGACUGUAACUGACGCUGAGGCUCGAAAGCGUGGGGAGCAAACAGGAUUAGAUACCCUGGUAGUC
rnacentral:rRNA from 1 species